ACACCGGGAUUGCCUUAGUACGGCGAGUGAAGCGGCAAAAGCUCAAAUUUGAAAUCUGGUACCUUCGGUGCCCGAGUUGUAAUUUGGAGAGGGCAACUUUGGGGCCGUUCCUUGUCUAUGUUCCUUGGAACAGGACGUCAUAGAGGGUGAGAAUCCCGUGUGGCGAGGAGUGCGGUUCUUUGUAAAGUGCCUUCGAAGAGUCGAGUUGUUUGGGAAUGCAGCUCUAAGUGGGUGGUAAAUUCCAUCUAAAGCUAAAUAUUGGCGAGAGACCGAUAGCGAACAAGUACAGUGAUGGAAAGAUGAAAAGAACUUUGAAAAGAGAGUGAAAAAGUACGUGAAAUUGUUGAAAGGGAAGGGCAUUUGAUCAGACAUGGUGUUUUGUGCCCUCUGCUCCUUGUGGGUAGGGGAAUCUCGCAUUUCACUGGGCCAGCAUCAGUUUUGGUGGCAGGAUAAAUCCAUAGGAAUGUAGCUUGCCUCGGUAAGUAUUAUAGCCUGUUGGGAAUACUGCCAGCUGGGACUGAGGACUGCGACGUAAGUCAAGGAUGCUGGCAUAAUGGUUAUAUGCCGCCCGUCGU
rnacentral:rRNA from 1 species